rnacentral:rRNA from 1 species
CCUACGGGCGGCUGCAGUGGGGAAUAUUGGACAAUGGGCGAAAGCCUGAUCCAGCCAUGCCGCGUGUGUGAAGAAGGCCUUCGGGUUGUAAAGCACUUUCAGUGGGGAAGAAAGCCUUGGGGCUAAUACCCUCGAGGAAGGACAUCACCCACAGAAGAAGCACCGGCUAGCUCCGUGCCAGCAGCCGCGGUAAUACGGAGGGUGCGAGCGUUAAUCGGAAUUACUGGGCGUAAAGCGCGCGUAGGCGGUCUGAUAAGCCGGUUGUGAAAGCCCCGGGCUCAACCUGGGAACGGCAUCCGGAACUGUCAGGCUAGAGUGCAGGAGAGGAAGGUAGAAUUCCCGGUGUAGCGGUGAAAUGCGUAGAGAUCGGGAGGAAUACCAGUGGCGAAGGCGGCCUUCUGGACUGACACUGACGCUGAGGUGCGAAAGCGUGGGUAGCAAACAGGAUUAGAUACCCCGGUAGUC